rnacentral:lncRNA from 1 species
CGGCCCCCGCGGCUCGUCUCCCACCUGGCCUGCCUCCCAGGGGUCGUGCCAGCCUCUUGGCGCCCCACCCGCUGGCUCCGUGCUGCCUUCGGGAGACCUUCGAUGGCGCUGCGCUGCGCUUCCGGGCGGGCCGGCCCACGCUCCGGGGGCUCCCUUUCUGAGUGCUCCCUCCCCAGCACUGCCCUCUGCUCGGGGCUGCUCCACAGAACCUCUUUGUUCUGCAUGGAGCCUGCUCUCUGUCCACCACUGUGCACUCGGGACAAAGAGGCCUGAGUCACCGCUGACCACGCGGCCCUGCCCUGCCCUCCCCUUCCAGAAGCGCUGAGCUCAUCUCCUAGCAGGACUCUGGGCUGUGGGACUCCAGUUUCCCUUUCCAGUCCUCUCUCCUGUCCCCAUCCCCCACCCCCCCCCAGCCUUCCCUUUGAUGUUGGAGGUGAUGGAGGAGGUGAGCAGGGAGCCUUGUCUCAUGAGCACCCGUGCCGAAGGACCCCCGAUCCUAAAGAGAGAGAGUGGGCCCUGCAAGGACACACGGCUCAGGGGGAAAGAUGGACCCCAGAAAGAAAUGUUCACAGGAUGCUCGCUCUGUCCCAGGACCACGGAGCUUCUGAUGACAGGGACAGAGCUGAAGUCUCCAACACCAUCGAGCCUCUUCCAAAACUCCCCGGUCCCAACUCGGGAAGACCCAGCUCCGAGGUCAGCAGAUAGUGGUGCCUGUGCUGAGUCAGUCGCUGCCUUGCACAUGAGCUGCGUGUGUCUGCCCCUGAAGCCAGAGAGGGCGCAUCUUUGAUGUCCCGACAGGGAAGCAGCUCAUUCACGUGGGACGAAUAAGGCUAUGCCUGCCCUUCAGGGAUGUUCUCUUCGCCUGCCUUUAUUUACACAAAGUCACCUGGAAAUUGUUCUUAAGACUCGGGAAGAAAUUGUAUCAUGCUCCUAGAUCAUUUGCAAAACGGUUCUUCCCCAAGAAUCCUCAGAAGGAUUCAGAAACCAUCCAGGGGAGAAAAUGCUAAUGUCCCCGCAUCUUUCACAAGCCAGCUUUCUUCAGCACUUGAGAGGACUUGCCAGAGAUAUUUUUGGUAGCUCGCUCAAACUGAGGGGCUUCAGGAAAUGCACCGUGGGACGACGUCGCCUGCACGCUGCUUGUCCUGUCUUUGAUUUUCCUGUCAGAGGCUCGGACUUACCCAGAAUCCGCCUGACUUGGCAUUUCCUGACUUUCGGCUUUGGACCCAAGCGUUGUUUAAACAAAGGGCGUGGGGCCCAGUGGGGGUGGGGACCGGGCAUUGUUGGAAUAUCACACGGGAUAAAAAAUUAGAUGUCCCUGUCAGACUAAGUUUAGGCCUGUGAGCCAUUGUUUGCUAUGUGACAACAAUGCUUGUCCAUUUUAUGACAGUGAAAAGAAUUAGCAGGGCUACAUGCUCUGAUGUAAGAUGUGAACUGGGUGAAUGGGCGUGCUGAGUCGCUUCAGUCGCCGCCCCACGGUUGGCAGCCUGCCGGGCCCCUCCGUCCACGGGAUUCCCCAGGCAAGAAUCCUGGAGUGGGCUGCCAUGCCUUCCUCCAGGGGGUCUUCCCGAGCCAGGCAUUGAACCCGUGUCUCUUAUGUCUCCUGCGUUGGCAGGAGGGUGCCACCUGGGAGGCCUGAACUGGGUAUUUCUCUUAAACAAAAAUCUGCACUUAACUGCCCGUUAGCCAUCAGACUGCCAGGUAGCAGUAUAUAGAGUAUAUUGACCUCCCUGGGUGGGGAGACAGCCUUCUGGAAUGACAACAAGGUGGAAAUAGUCGAGCCUUAGCCUUAUUUCUAUGGAGGUUGCCGAGGUUUUUGUGAAAUGACCUAUUUACGGAAACAAAUUAGCCUUUGCUUGUAUCUUUCCCUGAUCUACCAACCAAGAAAACGAGCUUGAUUUUUUUUGUUUUUUGCUUUCUAAAUGUUGUAGGGGUUCAGAUUAAAUAAUCAUCGUCUUGGUUUUACUAAAAUAAAGUGAAGUGAAAGUCGCUCAGUUGUGCCCGACUCUGCGACCCCAUGGACUAUACAGCCUAUACAGUCCAUGGGCUUCUCCAGGCCAGAAUAUUGGAGAGGGUAGCCUUUCCCCUCUCCCGGGGAUCUUCCCGACCCAGGGAUGGAACCCAGCUCUCCCUCGUUGCAGGCGGGUUCUUUACCAGCUGAGCCACAAGGCAAGCCCGAGAAUAGACUUGAUUUAAAAUAUUGCUACCAGGUUGUGGGUCUAAAUUUCUUUUCCCAGCGGGAACGGGCCUCCAUGAAGAACGCACCUUGUAAGGCAGCGGUGGGUGUCUGCUCUGGAGGCUGGAGCAUGCCGCAUCGCCCCAGCUGUGUGGUCGCAGGACCUUGCUUCUGCCCCACAAGCAUCUUUCCAAACCAGCCCGUGGAACAGCCUGAGGCCUGGGCUGGUGGGGACGCCAGGGCGUUCGUCAUCCCAGGGAGGUGGGGACCAGCCACUUUGGGGACUUGAAACCAUCUGUUUCUCACUUCCUUGCUGGUAUGAAGCAGGUCUAAGAGUAGGGUGUGUGAGAUAAAGAG